AAUUGAAUAAGAUACUUAAAUAAUAUAAGAAAGAUAUAUAUUCAAUUUAUAUAUUUAGUGAGGACACGCAUACAAACUAAUAUAAGUAAUUAAAUUUAAUUCCUGUUUCGGAACUAACUGCGGUUAAAGAUUAUUUUAGGCACACUUCAUAUAAAAUUUUCUUAUAAUAUACAUAUUGCAACCAACAUUAUGCAACUAACUUGACGUUAUACCUGAGAAUACAGCAGAUGUGAUACGUAACAUUUCAACCAAGUUUUUUGAUCACAUAUUAGUAAUUUUUCUUCUGUAAGUACUAUCAAUGAUAUCGCGUGAAUUGAAGUUUUGAAUAUUUAAUGCUGUGUCGUAUGUGCUUUGUAGUUUAACAACUUUGUACAUGCUCGAUAAAUUUUUCUCAUUGAAUGCGAGGUAACGUCGAUUUACGCAGCAAGAGCAACCAUCAGUUUUUCUCUAACCUUCGAUAUGGGUGAUUCAAAAUACUCCAGACGAAAUGAAAGGCUUCGAAUGGGCAGUGAAAUUGAAUCGUGCGGGUUUGAAUUUACUUGGGCUAUGGCCUAAUCCGGAAGAAACUUCCAGAGAGAAAAUAAUGAGCAAUAUACGUGUGCUUUUUACAUUUCUGGUGGUGACAAUUUUAUUAGUGCCUUGUUUACAUUCAUUAAUUAAAGUUCAUUGUGAUAUUAUGCUGACAACAGACAAUUUACAAUUUACUUUACCGAUUCUUAGCAACAUAAUAAAACUCCCAAUAUUUUGGUGGAAAAAAAAAGGUAAAUGUUCAAUAUCUCAGAUUUAUAUAGCACUUGCCCCGCUUGUAAAGAUGAUUGUCGAAGACUGGUUAAAGACAAAAACCACCGAUGAAAAAAAUACGAUGAUCAAAUGGGCGCUACGUGCACGUAUAAUAAUUACAUGCACGUAUCAUGUAAUAGUGAUGGGAUUCAUAAUGCUUUUCGGCAUGCCUAUUAUCGGAAAAUCAUUGACUAUGACACCGAAUAUCACUGAUUCCGGCAAAUCAAUGGUUAUACAAACCUAUUACAUUUAUGAUGUAGCAAAGAGCCCACAGUACGAAUUAACAAUUAUUAGUCAAUUCAUCUCUCUCAGUACUAUUGCCAUACUUUAUAUAGGAGUUGAUAAUUUUUUUGGAUUAUGUGUUUUUCAUAUUUGCGGACAAUUGAGCAUCAUGAGGAAUCGUUUGAAACAUAGUCACGAAAAUUUUCGAACCUUAUUGAAAAAUAACGUGAAGUAUCAUAUUCGAUUGCUCAAAGCUAUAAAUACUAUAGAAGAUACGUACAGUGUGAUCCUUUUAAUAUUGUUUGUAUAUUUUGGAAUAAUGUUUGCGUUCUGCGGAUUCCUAUUCAUUACUCUACUUGAAGUCGAAGGGAACACUGUAUCGUACACGCGUUUGUUAUUUAUUAUCGUUAUUAUUAUCUCUAUGCUCGUACAUAUGGGUAUUUAUUGCGCAGUUGGCGAGGCACUAAUAUCUGAAUGCAAUGGAAUUUAUUAUGCGGUCUACGAAUUCAAAUGGUACUAUUUGGAUCCAAAAGAAGUGAAGGAUUUAAUCCCAUUUAUGAUUAAAGUUAGUGAGCCUGUAUAUUUCACUGCUGGAAAAGUGUUUCCAGUGACAAUGGCUAUGCUUUGCAAUUUGAUGAAGACAUCGGCCGGUUACAUAUCUGUUUUACUUGCAACGACGAGGAAUUAAAAUUUCCUUUAAGAAUAAAUUCUUUUUAGCGUUUCCUAGAACCAUAACAGUAAUAAAAGAAACUAUUUAGAUAAAAGUCAGUUAUUGUAUAUAUUGUAAUGGUACUUUUACAAAUAAUUUCUGAUGUGGAGCCGAUAUAUAAUCUGGAAUUUGUCUUACACUACCAUGCUUUUAGAAAAAUAAGAAUGUAUAAUAAGUAUUAUUAUAUUAUACUAGUAUAAUUUUAAUCAACUAAUGUUACAUAAGUAGAAUUAGUGUUAAUGUUUCCGUUGCAAUAAAUACAAAAUAAUAUAAAAUUGUAAUUAAAAUUAACUUAUUAAAAGAGACGUAAAUAAUCUUCUA
rnacentral:misc_RNA from 1 species